rnacentral:lncRNA from 1 species
CUUGCCUGCCCCAUCGGAGCCGCCGGAGGUGGAGUCCGCCCCCCGGACCCCCGAACUCCUGUGCGUGCCCCUCCAUGGUGCUCUAGGCUGUGGAGGGCAAGGCCAGUCCCCGGGAGCAGGGUGAGGAAGGGGCCCCCACGCAGCCCUGCUGUGGAUUGGCGGGAGGACCCCAGGCUGGGCCAACCCAGCAGCCCGCGGCCAGGAGCGGGCAUCCCAAUGGGGAAAUCGGCCAGGAGGGGCUGGGGAAGCUGGUGCCUUCGCCCGCGCCCCGUGAGCUUUACCUCCGUGCGACAAGAGCGGUGGCUCCGGGCGGGGCCCACGCAGCUGGAGCCUCCAUCUCUCCUGCGGGACCAGAGCACCGGGAAGACCUGACCGAGACCCAACGUCCCUGCCCCCGUUCUGGGGCUCUCUGCAGGCCCCAACUUCUGCGGGACUCUCCAGUGGGAGCAGCAAGGGUUCUCAGGAACAACCCCUAUACAAACCGGGACAGAGGCACCUCACUACUCCUUCUGUGCCCCACCUUCUCCACUGACCCUGCCGGAGUGCAGCACACACAGCAAGCAUUUAAUAAAUCGCUUGAAGUGGGGAACAUCUGUACUCGGUAAAGAAACCACAGGAAUUGGGAACUGCCGGUUGAAGAUUAUUUACCAGUUCCAGCAAAAUUGACUGCACCUGCCAUACUGCAGGCCGGUGCAGCAUCAGGAGCUGGAGACCAGGGGCAACAGGCAGCACGCGUGCUCCAGCUCAGAGUGGAAGGCCCUGGGAAAUGGUUUGAUUUCCUGCGCUGAACUGAUGCUGCUUCCAGAAUGAAUCUGCUCCUUGGUGGGUUCUGCUGAUGUGGCCAGUGCUAGCCUAGGCCACGACCACCUAGCCCACCACCCAGAAGGCAGCAUCCCCUGCUCCUGCUUUAACAAGCUGGCCCAUUUUCAUCUCUCCUACCUCUGGGAGUAGCAGGGGCGCUCCCGGAAGCUGACACCCCCUCCACAGGUCCGGCUGCAGGGGCUCCACUGGCUCCAGGGUCCCCAGGUGUCACUCUGCCGCCUCACCUUGGGAGCCUGCAGAAGACAGGACCAUGCAUCAGCAUUGCCCACUCACAGCCUGAGCCCAGAGGCCCCUCCAAAGAUGCUCUGCCUAAAACCCUCCCCUACCCAUCAAGGAGUCUGGGAUUCUCCCUUCCAGGGCCCACCUUUAGGACUCAGCAACACUGCCGGGCACCCCAAAACAUAUUCCUUUUCAGAAUUAGCCUGCUUUCCUCAUAAGGAGCUGAGAGCCAGGCCUGGAGGGCGGGAGCAGGAGCAGCUGGGAAGAGUUUGGAGUUUCAGGGGCCACUGGAGGGGAGGGACCCUACAGCCAGGGGCAGUUUGAGGGUCCAGGCAUUUGUAGGUUAACCGUGAUGUAGGGGAGGGGGGCCUAAAAGAAAAUAAAGGGAAGCAACGUGGGGGGAUCCUGCUAAUCUGGCCGAGACUCCCAGGAGUACCCCAAUAUUCAUCCCCUCCUUCUCCCAUUGUGAGAGAAUGCUUGAAAACUUGACUCAGCUGGGUACCUGGCUGCCCAAAAUUUAAAAAAAAAAUACAUUUCCUGGACUGCCUGCAGCUAACUGUGGCUACAUCACUUAGUUCUCAUCAGUGAGAUGUAAAUACAAGUGUUGGGCAGCUGCCGCAAAUAAUCUCCUCAAGAGAGAGCCUGCGUGAGCCUUUGUCCUUUUCUCCUUCCUCCUGUACUCUUUCAGGCUGUCUGGGAAGCAGAUGUGAUGGCUGGAGUUGGAGCAGCCUUUUAGACUGUGAGGUAACUUGGAAAUAGAGGCUUCAAACAGUGAAGCAAAGAUAGAGGGACUCUAGAGCCUGGAGGAUUUUGUGCAACAGAAUAGCCCCAGACUUCUGACCCCUGGGUGUUUAUAUGAGAGAGGAAUCAUGUCUGUCUUAUUGAAGAACUGUUAUUUGGGACUCUACACAGGAUUAUAAUCCUAGCAGGUACACUUUCCCACCAGAAAGAUUGGACCCCUUGCAGCUGGCAUCAGGAAUCCACAUGCCACACACACAUUAUCUCAUUUCAUCCUCACAACAACCCGACAGACCCCAUUGCAUGAAUAAGAAAAGUGAGGCAGAGAGAGGAAACCACAGGGGAAGAAGUGGGCACAGUAGCCGGCCAGCCUCACUGCAGUCCUCUGCUCCCCUGCCGAGGCUGUGCCCCCACCCACCUGGGGGAAUCAAAUGAGACACUAGAUGAUUCCCUACAGGGUUGGACAGGGAUUAGAUGUAACUUCACAAUUUUCCCAGGAGGCAUAUGGUGUACAUGCAAACAUUUGCUGGAAGGGGACUUUCUUUUAGGGUAUCACCACUUAAGACUCAAGGAAAAAUACCAUUCCCACUUUUCAGAGAAAGAGCUCAAUGGUCACACAGAAAAGCAGCCGGGCACGGUGGCUCAUGCCUGUAAUCCCAGCACUUUGAGAGGCCAAGGCAGGCAGAUCACCUGAGGUCAGGAGUUCGAGACCAGCCUACCCAACAUGGCGAAACCCCGUCUCUACUAAAACUACAAAAAAUUAGCCAGGCGUGGCGGCGGGUGCCCGUAAUCCCAGCUAGUCGGGAGGCUGAGGCAGGAGAAUUGCUUGAACCCGGGAGGUGGAGGUUGCAGUGAGCCGAGAUUGCAUCACUGCACUCCAGCCUGGGCGACAGAGUGAGACUCCAUCUCAAAAAAAGAAAAGAAAAGCAGGCUCUUGCUUUCAUGGUGACCCCUGAGCAGCUUCGCUGAAUCUCAGGUGAGGAAGGACGUUUACUCAUCUCUAACAUCCCUGGUGCCAAACAUCUAGUUAUCCUUGUCUUAUAACAAAACCCAGAACACUGAAGCAGAACAAACCACGCACAAACCACGCUAAGCCUGCCGAACCACACACAACCAAGAAGGAAGGGCUUGCCAGAUGAGAGGUCUUAGCUUUCACUUUGUAAAAUAUCUACUCCUUCAAGUCUAACUUGGACAAAAAUCUCUAAGCUUUCGAAACCACUGAGCCAAAAUAUCAAAGUUUUCUCUGAAUGAAAGUUAAACUGAAAUUUACUUGGAUCAAGUUUCUAUUUCACAAGGAAGACACUGAGUGUUGAGCGUGAAGGGUGACUUUCCAGAGACAGCCUGCAGCCCCAGCUGGGAUUCUGGCACCCGCCCCCCCCACACACAGCCUCAUCCCACAUUUUAAGUAUUCAGGAGAGGUCUUCAGGGGUGGCUGCUUUCUUAGCUGCUGGGUUGGGCCUGGUUGUCAAUUACCCUCUGACUAAGGCCUGUUUGGAUGUCUGUCUUGGCUCCUUGGCACAGCAGCCAGCAAAAUCCACCCUUCCCUGGAGCUGGGCUGGGUGUACUGGUGUGUGGCCAAGGGGUACCCCUGCCAUGGAGCCACAGCCUGGCCAUCAGGAUAAGGCAGGGGCAGGACUGGCCUGAACAAGGGCCCCCUAAGGGACAUGCUGUUUCCAGAAUGCCCUCUUGCCUCCUGUGCCCAGCACCUGUAAGGCAGGUGUCCACUAGCCAGGAGCCCUAGUCCGUCCCAUCCUAGAGCCGUGCUCUGUCCACACACUCCACACUGUCUCUCCAAGGAAGGAAAGCACCUUCAGCCACAGGCAGCAUGAGCACACUCUUGCUCUGUAAUUACCCAAACCGUGAACUGCCCGACAUGGCGUGAAGCCGGAAUGAGCUGAUACAGCCAGCCUCACCUGGGGCCUGCCCUCACCUGUCUCAUGCUGCGCUAGGCGCCCCACCCAUGCCUCCUUCAACUCCCACCUGGAGCCACUCAGGGGUCCCCUUUCCUGCUGCACUGUUUCCAGGGGAAUCAACUGCCCAAUGUGCACGUGUGUAAGAGAGAGACAGAACACAUGCACACCCGUGUGCAGACGGGAGCAGAGGCUGAGGCCCAGGAACACGCAGGCCGCCACCUUUAUUCAUUUACUCAUUCUGUUCAGACUGACCGCUGACAGCAUAAGUGAUCCAGAGAAGGUGCUCGGACUGGGUGGUUCCUGCCCCAGCAACAGAGGGAGGCAGUGGAGCUGUGAGCGGGGCCACACCCCCUGCAGACUCACAGAGGGCAGGGAGAGAAGAAUUCUCAGCCCAGGCUGCGCCCAGCCCCAUCUGAGACUCACUGGGAGGAGGUGGCAGCCGGAUGAGGCUACUCAGCGUGGCCUUAAGGGAGAAAAGGUUUAAGAGAACCAAGGGCGCUUUGGAAACCUUGAUUUGUUUCAUCUGCAUGACAACCUCUGGGGUGGGCAUUAUUACUCCCAAAUUAGAGCAGUCUAAGGCUUAUUUGCCUAGGAUCAUGCAGCUGUCCAGGUGGCUCUGGGAUUUAAUCCUGGGGCCUGGACGCUGUCCUCGUGCCCCCUCCACCUGGGCUUUGGCCUUCAUGCAGCUGGGCCACCAGCACGUGGUGAAGGACCUGAGAGUGGCAUUUAGGAAGCAAGAUUCAUGGGGUGGCAGAGGGGACCGUGGGUAGCUGGCAGGUGGUCGAGAGGACAUGAAAAAGGCUGCCUCUAGCCCACCCACCGCUCCAGCUGUGGCCCAUGUUGGGUUCACAGGGCUCUUGAAGUGUCAUCUAUGGGAUCCACUUCUAGUGGGAGAAGUGCCCACUGCCAUCCAUCCUGCCUGCCCCACACACCCCUGCAGAGGAGUCCUGCUCAGCCUCCGCCCACAGAUGCCAGACGUGGCAUCCCCCCCCCGACCUCCCCAUGGCAGAAAACAGUUUGGGUCCUUUCGCAGGGAUCCUUCCUCUUUCACUUCCUGCCUGCCUCACAGAGGGGUGGGCAGGGCUGUGGGUCACCCUGGGAGAUUUCUCCUGGGGCAGGACAGGGCCCAGCUGCCUCUGUGGCUUCUAUUCUGCCAGGCACUGAGCCAGGGCAACACCCAGCUCUGCAGACCCCCUCCUCCCCAAAGGUGGGGCCUGUGGUCUAGAAGAUUCCUUGUACAUCCUCAAGACCCAGGGACCUUCUCCAGAGAGCCCUGGCCUUUGGGCCCCUGUUAAUGAAACAGCAGCUCUGACCACCAGCCAGCUUCCUGGGUCCACUGUCUUAAUUCGCAGUCCAAUACAGUAGCCACUAGCCGCAUGCGGCUGUUUAAAUUAAUUAUGGCCAGGCGUGGUGGCACACACCUGGAGUCCCAGCUACCUGGGAGGCUGAGGCAGAAGAAUCACUUGAACCCAGGAGGUGGAGGGAAGCCCUGGGAAGGUGCCAUUCCUACACACUGCGCCCUGCAGCCGGGCGGGCAGUUCUGGGAACCCUGGCCAGCUGGCUUCAAGGGCCCAGCCCUUUCUGAGGGAGCUCAGCGGUGCGGGCUCGCCUCCUCCCAGCCCAGCUUCCCUGACAUCGCCCCUUUCCUGGGGACGUUGCCUGCGGGCCCGCGCGUCCCCGCCCCCGACUCCCCUGCAGGUUCCUCCGGGGGCCGGGGCAGGACCGCACUCACCGAGGACCCGGGCGCUGGAGCCAGCAGCAGCGGCACGAGCAGGAGCAGCCGCAUCUCAGCCUGCGGGAGACGCAUUGGGUUAGAGCGGCCCGGGGCUCCCGCAGCUGUCCUGGGCGCGGGCGAGAGUGUGUGGGCGCGUCUCUCCCUAUGGCCCACAGGUGACCAGGAGACCCGCAACAGGACAGCCGGGUGCGCCUCGGUGCACCGCAGAGAACACAGCGUGAGGGCGCCCCGCCGGGCGGCUCAACAUGUGAGCAAGAAAGGAAUGGCCCAUCCGCAACUGGCAGAAGUUCAAGAACAACUUGUUUCAGAGUUCCAGAGGGGAAAAAAAGAGAGAGCAAUUAAAAAUACUUCUAUGUGGUUGAAAAACAAGUUCAGAAUCCGAGUAAUUAGACUCACUUUUAAUUCAGCAAGAUUCCUUUUAAAAAAGCUAUUACAUCAGAUGUUUAAAAACUCCUAAUAUAGGCUUUAAAAAAAUCAAGUCUCUGAAGACACUUUGAAAACCCAAAUGCUCUAAAAGUGUUAAUUGUAGCCCAUUUAAAACCCAAGCCAGCAUUUCUCUGCACAGGGAAGCUCCAUAAGCAGCCUCCAUAACCAACGUGUGUAUGCAGUGCAGUGUGCGCCGUGCAGUGUGCGUGGUGCAGCGUGUGAGCCCUGAAAGUGCAGUGCAGUGUGCAGUACAGUGUAGUGUGCUCAGGGCAGUGUGCAGUGCAGUGUGUGUGGAGUGUCUGUGGUUUGAUGUGUGCAUGCAUGCAAAGUGCAUGUGCAGUGUGCGGGGCGGGUCCAUGUGCAGUCUGGUGUGUACUAUUUGGUGCAGGUGUCCAGUCGGUAUACACGCUGUGCAGUGUGUAUGUGUACAUACAUGUCGCUGUAUCGCAGAAUGACAUAAACAAUGUGCGCCCUUCAGUACAAAACAUUAAACAAGUACUAGCGUGCAGGUUUGAACUUUAAAAUCUGUAAUUCUACCAAUGUUCUAAUUUUUUAAAGAUAUAAAAUGACUUCUGCUUACAAGGAUAAAAGACAGCAUACAGAAGCCAAGCUCAGCAGAAAUGUAACCUGGCAUACUGAACAAUGUACACACUCGUUAAUUUGGCACAGUGAGUCAUUGAGUCAUUAUUUUCGUGGUCAAGUUCGAGAUUCCUGGGGUUGGAGGGUGAGGGAAGGGGGUUGCUGCCAGAGCCCUGCCUCUGCUCUGCUGGGGGCAGCUCCCAGAGCAGGAGCCCCCUGCUAGGGCCAGGCUAGGCCUGCUAGGGCGGGCGAGGCUGAGGAAAAGACGGGUGAAAGAAGAAUUUUACUUGUAAUUACUCAGAACACCACCGCCUCCGCUGCAAUUUCACUGAACUCCAAGCCCAUAUCUGCCAUUCCGAAGUCUGAAAAGUUCAGUUUUUUCGGUUCAUUUGGUGGCAAACAACCCCUUCAACUCCAAGGCCAGUCCGGGUCUGGUCACGGGGCUACUCCGAGGGCCGUGGAAGCUCGACCUCUCCUGCCGCCCGAGGGCAGGGACCGGGUGGCCCCGGG